ensembl:lncRNA
UAAUUGCGUAUACUCUGACUUCUUAUUUAUUUAUGCUUUUUCUGAUGCUAUAUAUAGUUGUACAGGAGUAGACCACUGAAGUUGUGCGUCAUUCUGUAGUGCUCGUACGGCUUCCGUGUCUAAGCGUUUUUUCCCUAUAAGAAAAAUGAAUGGGGUUUUUAAAAACUCGCCUCUGUCACAUUCUGUGGUAAAUAAAUCUGUUCAGACCCCUGUACGUUUUAUUCUGUGUACAUUUUAUUCCUGAACAUCACUGGAUCCUCUGAAUUACGAGAUCAUUUAAGGGUCGUAAUGAGAAAAAUGCUACAUUUAAGCUAAUGCUACAGCGGAGUGAACUGACCUCCCGGCGCCGCUGCAGAGAUUAGCAGGGGACUGUUUUUCGACUCAACACCAGAGAACUCCAGCUGUAAGUUAGGAGCAUUUUACACACAGCUGAGACUAAUAAUGAACUAACUGCCCUCACAGUGAUAUUUAGGAGGUAAAUGUACACAGAAUAAAACGUACAGGGUUCUGAACAUAUUUAUUUACCACAGAAUGUGACAGAGGCCAGUUUUUGAAAAGCCCAUUCAAAUCCCAUAUUGAUUUGGACGGCUUAGACACAGAACCCCAAAGGAGCCCCAAAUAUGGGCAUAAACAACAUGGCGCCGACUACAAAAUGACGCAGGACUUCAGUGGUCUAUUAAAACUGUACACAGGACUAUAUUAGACCUUUCAUGAUCACACUGAUUAUGUAUUUGUUCUGAAAGAAAUGCGUUUCAUUCUAGGAUUGAUCUUUAGGGCUGUAUUGUUGUUUUACAGCUAGCUAGCUACACUGCAUGUAGAGAGAGACACUCCUUACUUCAUAAGCUUAUCAUUACACAUUAGUACAUUCAAUUUUAACUGUACAGUAGUGGUGGAUGUUUGAAGUCGCUGGCAGGUCCCCGACGGACCAAAAUAAAGAGAAGUGCUUUACUGGGAACCAGCAAAAUUCUUACAAUCCAGGCCCUGGCAAAAAAGAGGCAGAAGAGGACAACAAGGCUGCCCAAGAAAGUGACUGCAAACGAGGGGACAGUCACAGAGCCAGGUCAGUUCUUGGAACAGAACUCUGGUUGGGCCUGCAUUUGACAGUUUGAACAGUAAAAUACAUGAUGAAUAGGACAUUUAUUUAUUUAUCAACCAACAUCAUUACUUUAAGUAUUCAUACCAUUACUACUGUGAAAUAUCAGUGCACAAUGACAACAGACGCAUGAUGGUACAUGACUUUAAUCAUUAAUGUAUAAGUCAUUUUAAACAGAGGAAGAUGCAGCAACUGUUGUGAGACUUGUUUUCUGACAAGGUUUCUUUCUCCAGGUCUAAGGGAAUUUAACACUUUGUUUGACAUCAAGAGAAUCUUAAUUUUCUUUACAAAUGGAAGUGACAAACCAGGAAGUCUGCCAGAUUCAAAACAUAACUGUAAAAAGACCAGUUUCUAAAAUUACCAAACUGUUACAGAUUAGUAUUUGCUCACUAUUGGGAGACAUUGAAUUUAACAACUUAAGCUGAGAAAAUAAUGUGUUUAUAAUACCUGCAUGCAGUUUUAUAUAUUAUAUUAUGACAUAUAUAUUAAAUAUAACAUGUUAAAG